UUACCAAACCAUGGCAAACUCCGAAUACCGAAGAGUGCGAGCGUGGGAGACAGACAUGGGGUGCUAACGUCCUGUGUCAAGAGGGAAACAACCCAGACCGCCGUCUAAGGUCCCAAAUGCAUAGUUAAGUGGAAAACGAGGUGGGAAGGCACAGACAGCCAGGAUGUUGGCUUAGAAGCAGCCAUCAUUUAAAGAAAGCGUAAUAGCUCACUGGUCGAGUCGUCCUGCGCGGAAGAUGUAACGGGGCUCAAACUAUGAACCGAAGACGCGGAUAUGUGUUUACACAUAUGGUAGGAGAGCGUUCUGUAGGCCUGUGAAGGUGUGUUGUAAAGCAUGCUGGAGGUAUCAGAAGUGCGAAUGCUGACAUGAGUAGCGAUAAAGGGAGUGAAAAGCUCCCUCGCCGAAAGCCCAAGGUUUCCUGCGCAACGUUCAUCGGCGCAGGGUGAGUCGGCCCCUAAGGCGAGGCAGAAAUGCGUAGUCGAUGGGAAACGGGUUAAUAUUCCCGUACUUGAUAUCAGUGCGAUGUGGGGACGGAGAAGGGUAGGUCAGCCACCUGUUGGAAUAGGUGGUUUAAGCGUGUAGGCGUGGGGAUUAGGCAAAUCCGGUCCCCUUUAACGCUGAGGCGUGAUGACGAGGAAUCUUUGAUUCUGAAGUGAUUGAUCCCAUGCUUCCAGGAAAAGCCACUAAGCUUCAGCUGAUAUUGAACCGUACCGCAAACCGACACAGGUGGGCAGGUAGAGAAUACUAAGGCGCUUGAGAGAACUCGGGAGAAGGAACUCGGCAAAUUGACACCGUAACUUCGGGAGAAGGUGUGCCCCGGUAGCGUGAAGGACCUUGCGUCUGGAGCGUGAUGGGGUUGCAGUGAACUGGUGGCUGCGACUGUUUAUCAAAAACACAGCUCUGUGCCAACACGAAAGUGGACGUAUACGGAGUGACGCCUGCCCGGUGCUGGAAGAUUAAAUGAUGGGGUGCAAGCUCUUGAUUGAAGUCCCAGUAAACGGCGGCCGUAACUAUAACGGUCCUAAGGUAGCGAAAUUCCUUGUCGGGUAAGUUCCGACCCGCACGAAUGGCGUAACGAUGGCCACACUGUCUCCUCCCGAGACUCAGCGAAGUUGAAGUGUUUGUGAAGAUGCAAUCUCCCCGCUGCUAGACGGAAAGACCCCGUGAACCUUUACUGUAGCUUUGCAUUGGACUUUGAAGUGGUUUGUGUAGGAUAGGUGGGAGGCUUUGAAGUGCGGACGCUAGUUCGCAUGGAGCCGACGUUGAAAUACCACCCUGACCCCUUUGAGGUUCUAACCUUGGUCCGUUAUCCGGAUCGGGGACCGUGCAUGGUAGGCAGUUUGACUGGGGCGGUCUCCUCCCAAAGUGUAACGGAGGAGCUCGAAGGUUACCUAGGUACGGUCGGACAUCGUACUGAUAGUGUAAUGGCAAAAGGUAGCUUAACUGCGAGACCGACAAGUCGAGCAGGUGCGAAAGCAGGACAUAGUGAUCCGGUGGUUCUGAAUGGAAGGGCCAUCGCUCAACGGAUAAAAGGUACUCCGGGGAUAACAGGCUGAUUCCGCCCAAGAGUUCACAUCGACGGCGGAGUUUGGCACCUCGAUGUCGGCUCAUCACAUCCUGGGGCUGUAGCCGGUCCCAAGGGUAUGGCUGUUCGCCAUUUAAAGUGGUACGUGAGCUGGGUUCAAAACGUCGUGAGACAGUUUGGUCCCUAUCUGCAGUGGGCGUUGGAAGUUUGAGGGGGGCUGCUCCUAGUACGAGAGGACCGGAGUGGACUGACCUCUGGUGUACCGGUUGUCACGCCAGUGGCAUUGCCGGGUAGCUAAGUCGGGAAUAGAUAAGCGCUGAAAGCAUCUAAGUGCGAAACUAGCCUCAAGAUGAGACUUCCCUAGGUCUUUAAGACCUCUAAAGGAUCGUUCGAGACCAGGACGUUGA
rnacentral:rRNA from 1 species